rnacentral:rRNA from 1 species
UGCCCCAGUAACGGCGAGUGAAGCGGCAACAGCUCAAAUUUGAAAUCUGGCCUCGGCCCGAGUUGUAAUUUGCAGAGGAUGCUUUUGGCGCGGCGCCCUCCGAGUUCCCUGGAACGGGACGCCACAGAGGGUGAGAGCCCCGUAUGGUCGGACGCCAAGCCUGUGCAAAGCUCCUUCGACGAGUCGAGUAGUUUGGGAAUGCUGCUCAAAAUGGGAGGUAAAUCUCUUCUAAAGCUAAAUACUGGCCAGAGACCGAUAGCGCACAAGUAGAGUGAUCGAAAGAUGAAAAGCACCUUGAAAAGGGGGUUAAACAGUACGUGAAAUUGUUGAAAGGGAAGGGCUCGUGACCAGACUUGUGCCAGGCGGCUCAUCCGGCGUUCUCGCCGGUGCACUCCGCCUGGCUCAGGCCAGCAUCGGUUCUUGCCGGGGGACAAGAGCGGCGGGAACGUGGCCCCCCUCGGGGGGUGUUAUAGCCCGCCGCACGAUGCCCUGGCGGGGACCGAGGUCUGCGCUCCGCAAGGAUGCUGGCGUAAUGGUCACCAACCACCCGUCUUGAAACACGGACCAAGGAGUCGUCCAUCAGAGCGAGCGUUUGGGUGUCAAACCCGCACGCGUAAUGAAAGUGAACGCAGGUGAGAGCUUCGGCGCAUCAUCGACCGAUCCUGAUGUCCUCGGAUGGAUUUGAGUAAGAGUUUUGCUGGACGGACCCGAAAGACAGUGAACUAUGCUUGUAUAGGGUGAAGCCAGAGGAAACUCUGGUGGAGGCUCGCAGCGGUUCUGACGUGCAAAUCGAUCGUCAAAUAUGAGCAUGGGGGCGAAAGACUAAUCGAACUGU